GCACACGCUCACCGCCUCCCUGCGCGCCGCGGAACACAGCGCCCCGCCCGCUGGCCACCGCGCUGGGGCGAGUCCGCAGUUCAGGCGCGAGGCAAGCAGCCGAGGUCCGGGGCUGCGGCCGCGGCCGGGGCGGACCCGGGAGCUGGGCUUCCCAAAGCGUCGCGUGUGGGCAACGGCGGCCUCCUGGCCGCGUGGAACUGAGCCCUGCGCUGCAGCAUGAAGGCGGCGGCGGCGGCGGCGGCGGGCGCGCGGCCGUGAGCUCAGCCCGCGCUGCAGUGACGGGAGCGGCCGUGUCGGCCAGACCCCGAGAGUCCGUGAGACCCCGGCCGGGGCCGCUCCGCUGCUGUCAGCCCUCGGGCCUCCCAGCCAGACUGGUUCUGAACCGAUUUAUCAGGGGGUUGCGGAGAGGGCCGGCGAAGCGCCAGGAAAUCCCCAGGCUGAGGAGGCGCGGGGGCGUUGCAGGAAGGGGGAAGGGAAAAGGCAGAAAACCUGGAGAAUGAAAGCGAACUUCCAGGGGCGUCCCCAGCCUCCUGCAAAAGGGCAAUUUGCUGAUCGCCCACUUCCUCGCAGUUACGGGAUAGAGAGAAUCAUCACUGAGUCAAGCUUCGGCUGCUUAGGGCGGUGGGAAAAGUCAUUAUCUAUAAUAACCCGCCGGAAAUUUUGAGGAGAGCUACUGACUUGGGGGUUUCAGUCAUCUGAGGCUGGCUUCCGCUGUCCCCUUAGUUGUGGGUGGUGAUUUGCUUACUAAUCAGAUGGGAGCGGAUUCUGAAAAGAACAUUUAUAUUUGGGAAUCAACUCAGCUCAGCAUCAGACAUUACGAAUACUGCAGUUGGUCACAUUUUACUAUGUGAAGGGCAGAAAGGGAGCCCAACAGUCUUCAUAAGCCAGACCUAGUCUCUAAGGUCACCGGCACAGACGCAGGGUCUAAAGCAGGAAAGAGGUGCGACUGGAAAGGAGGUUAGACAGGGCCCUGCGGGAAUGGAUCUGCCCGGAGCCCUCGCCUGGUUUUGCUUGAGACUCCGACAAGACUCCCAAUGCUUCUCUCCCCGACCCUAUCCCCACUCCCUCCAUCCUGGAAAAGCCAGUGAGCAAAGUUAACUCUUUCUUCUAAGAAACCCUGAGUGAAAUCUUGCUCUUCCUUUCUGCUAGAGUCCUGAAACCCUUUCGCUUCUCAUUGUGGGUUCACCAGCACGUGGUCUUCGGACACUGAGAGCACCUUCGCUCUCAGCUGUGAUCCUAGCUAGCCCAGACACCAGUCUGUACCCAAAGGAAGAGUAGGAAGUUGCAAAGGGAAGCUGGCUAACAAGGGCUUCUUCUGCCCUACUUGGCAAAGGCCCAUACGGGUGGCCUCCGUGGAUAUGGAGCUCCUUCAUUUUGUUCCAAAAAGAGCUCUGCCAGGCUUUACCAUUGCCCUGGAGGUGCACAGGCGCCCGUAUACUCGAGCACAACCAUGGGCUCACCCCAAGCGCGCACACCUGCACCCACGCGUAAGGAAGAACCACACAGCUAUCUCUGUCGGGGAAGAACACGAGGAGUGAAGUGCUUUAGGUGGAAACUCCUCACAUCUCCUUUCUUUCCUCUGCUCCCCCUCUCUGCCCCUGGUACUCCGGAUCCAAUCCUUGGCUUAGGAAUCCACUCAAGCCACGUCUGGCUGCUUUGUUCCAGAGGAGCGCAGCUCCGAGACUGCACUUCAGCGGUGCAGCCUCCCUCCAGGUCGGCGAGCGGCGCCAGAUCCGGGACUUCAGGGUCUCCGCGGGAGCUUAGGAGGCUCAGGAUCUGAGUUGGAGAGCUGGAAGGCCAAACUCCGAGCCGCUGAGGGACUGCGCAGGAAGACCACAGAAAUAAACCAAAGGGACACCGCGGACAGAUGUACCAGAGGACACCACUGAAGUCCAGGAGAAUCUCCACCAAAACCAUCAGCGUUUUCCUUGUAGCUUUCUGUCCCUCGAAGUGGAAAGUUGAGGUUUCUGAGAAGUCCACGGAGAGAACCUGCAGCAAACUGAAGCCACAGACUCCGAAGGCAUAGGGAGAAAAAAUGCUUCCAUCCCCCUUUCACUUUAAACUUGAUCGCUUCUGGGACUUCACUGGAGGGCGGUGGAGUUGCACCAACCUGGAGUACAGGCAGAUCCCAGCGAGCACUUCCAAGUACUUUAGGACGUGGGGGUGACUCUUUUUUCUUCAGGAUUGUCCCACUUGCCACCCUUUCCAGCUGAGCUGAUAGGAACCAAUGAAAGUCUAGGCGAUGAGGAUUUUCCGUUACCUCAGGGAUCAAAGUAUAAAAUGUUGAAUGAGAAACCCGAAGACCUUGCAUCGCUGGGCUGAAUAACUUGUUUUCUUUUUUAUGGUGUCCAGACUGAGGUAGGGAGGGGACACACUGACCUAGCUGUAAGAAGUCAAGGGUUGGGACAAAACAAAGUUCAAAUAUAUACUGGAAUUUGUGUGUGUGUGUGUUUCAGAAACUGUGUGUGUGUGUGUGUGUGUGUGUGUGUGUGUGUGUUUUCAGCUUGAGAAAGAUGAAAUCACGUUUCCUUAAUGCUGGGAGUAAUAAUGCUUAAUGCUUAACUUUUCAUUGUUCUUUCAUGUUUCAAGCCCUACCAGGCCCAGGAAAACACUUCUUUCCGUUUCCUGUAGCCUUCCUGCGUAUCAUGCAUUAUAUUUGAAAGUGCUUUCCUCUACUUUCCUCAUUUUAUCUCAAUAAUCUCUGCUAAAACCAGAUAACUUUCACCCUCCCGGUUCAGCAUUUGCUCUUUUCCCUCCUACACAAGCUGAUUAGAAUUUGCAAAGAGAGAGGAAGAAGAAAGGUUCUAUUUUGUUUCAUGAUUGUUGCUAGAAAACGGCAAGACCUCGGGAGAGAGACCAGCAUAUUAUUUCCCAGUGGAUGUCAGAGCUAGCAAAGUUUUUUUUUUUUCUUUAAAUUUUAUUCCCUAGCAGGUCAAAAACUAGUAUGUUUGCAAGAACAAUUUCUAGUUUGCUCAUAAAACUAUUGUUAUUAGCCACUCUAAGGUUGGCAUACUUUUAAAAGUUCAAACAAGUUCCUUCUAGAAUAGGGUUCUUUUAAACAUUAACAUUUAAAAAGAAGUAAUUUUUUUCAUAAAUAAUUUAGAUUUAACUCUUUACCUCUAUAGUAUAUCUGCCUUACUUCGUUAAUGUGUCCCCUGAUUUACUGCCUAUGUCAAAGCACUUUUAAAAUAAUGUCAAUUUUCUUGUUCUCCCAGUUCAUUUUUCUGAGGACCAAUGGUGAUAAGUGUUGGUCUGCCUAUCUUCCCAGAAUAAUCCAAGAUUUGGGGAAAGAAAGAGUAUUUUGCUAAUUUCAGUUUUCUUUCACAUUAAAAAGUUCAACGUAUCUAGAACGGAACAAAACGGAGAAAGCAAAGAAUAAAGCAAAGAAACAUAUAUUGGGGAAAGGAUACUGUAUUCAGUAAAUUGUGCUGGAAAAAGUGGUAAGCCACAUGUAGAAGAAUGAAACUGGAUCCCCAGCUCUCACCUAAUACAAAAAUCGACUCAAGAUGCAUCAAAGACUUAAAUAUAAAACCUGAAACCUUGAAAAUUCUAGAAGAUAACACCAGAAAAACUCUUCUAAAUGUUGGC
rnacentral:lncRNA from 1 species